CGGGCUACUAUACAGUCUCAAAGGCAACGUAACCAAUCUGGCGAAUUUCAAUUUCAAAUGUAACGUGCUAUAUUUGACCCUGUAACUUCCCAAAACGCCGUAAAACCUGUACAUAGGGGGUACUGUUUUACACGUGAGACUUUGCUGAAUACAAAUAUGUGUAUUUUAUUGCAGUAAAAGCAAACAGUAUUAUGACACUGACC
rnacentral:lncRNA from 1 species